UGCCCUAGUAACGGCGAGUGAAGCGGCAACAGCUCAGAUUUGAAAUCUGGCGUCUUUGGCGUCCGAGUUGUAAUCUGUAGAGGAUGCUUUUGGGUAGCCACCGGUCUAAGUCCCCUGGAACGGGGCGUCACAGAGGGUGAGAAUCCCGUAUGUGACCGGAAGGGCGCCCUCUACAUAGCUCCUUCGACGAGUCGAGUUGUUUGGGAAUGCAGCUCUAAAUGGGAGGUAAAUUCCUUCUAAAGCUAAAUACCGGCCAGAGACCGAUAGCGCACAAGUAGAGUGAUCGAAAGAUGAAAAGCACUUUGGAAAGAGAGUUAAAAAGCACGUGAAAUUGUUGAAAGGGAAGCGCUUGCAACCAGACUUGUUGGCGGUGUUCCGCCGGUCUUCUGACCGGUUUACUCACCGUCUGCAGGCCAGCAUCAUCUGGGGCCGCUGGAUAAAAGCGAGGGGAAUGUGGCUCCCCCGGGAGUGUUAUAGCCCCUCGUGCAAUACAGCGAGCCUCGGGUGAGGUCCGCGCUUCGGCUAGGAUGCUGGCGUAAUGGUCGUAAGCGGCCCGUCUUGA
rnacentral:rRNA from 1 species